GUAAGCUACUAAGAGCAAAUGGUGGAUGCCUUGGCUAGUAGAGGCGAUGAAAGACGUGCCAGGCUGCGAUAAGUCUCGGGGAGCCGUCAAGGGGCUUUGAUCCGGGAAUUUCUGAAUGGGGCAACCCAGUUAAUAGUGAUAUUAACUACUGUAUUUACAGAGCUAACGUGGGGAAUUGAAACAUCUUAGUACCCACAGGAAGAGAAAUCAAAAGAGAUUACGCUAGUAGCGGCGAGCGAACGCGUAAGAGGGCAAACCGUUAGUUUACUAACGGGGUUGUAGGACUGCAACAUAGACUUAAACAAACUAAUAGAAUAACCUGGAAAGGUUAGCCAUAGUGGGUGAUAGCCCCGUAUAUGAAAGUGCGUUUAUACUUAGCAGUAUCCUGAGUAGGGCGGGACACGUGAAAUCCUGUCUGAAGCUGGGGAGACCACUCUCCAACCCUAAAUACUACUACUAGACCGAUAGUGCACAAGUACCGUGAGGGAAAGGUGAAAAGAACUGAGGUGAUCAGAGUGAAAUAGAACCUGAAACCAUUUGCUUACAAUCAUUCAGAGCACGAUUCUUUAUGACGUGUGAUGGACUGCCUUUUGCAUAAUGAGCCUGCGAGUUGUGGUGUCUGGCGAGGUUAAGGAAACCCGGAGCCGUAGCGAAAGCGAGUCUUAAUAGGGCGUAUAGUCAGAUGCUGCAGACCCGAAACGAUGUGAUCUAUCCAUGAGCAGGUUGAAACUGGUGUAAGAGCCAGUGGAGGACCGAACAGACGGCCGUUGAAAAGGCUCCUGAUGACUUGUGGAUAGGGGUGAAAGGCCAAUCAAACAUCGUGAUAGCUGGUUCUCUCCGAAAUAUAUUUAGGUAUAGCGUUGUGUCGUAAUUAUAAGGGGUAGAGCACUGAAUGGGCUAGGGCAUAUACCAAUGUACCAAACCCUAUCAAACUCCGAAUACUUAUAAUGUAAUCACAGCAGUCAGGCGGCGAGUGAUAAAAUCCGUCGUCAAGAGGGGAACAACCCAGACUAACAGCUAAGGUCCCUAAAUCUCAUUUAAGUGGAAAACGAUGUGGAGUUACUUAAACAACCAGGAGGUUGGCUUAGAAGCAGCCAUCCUUUAAAGAAAGCGUAAUAGCUCACUGGUCUAGUGAUUCUGCGCGGAAAAUAUAACGGGGCUAAAAUGAGUACCGAAGCUUUAGACUUAGUUUUUAACUAAGUGGUAGGAGAGCGUUCUAUUCAGCGUUGAAGGUAUACCGGUAAGGAGUGCUGGAGCGGAUAGAAGUGAGCAUGCAGGCAUGAGUAGCGAUAAUCUAGGUGAGAAUCCUAGACGCCGAAAACCCAAGGUUUCCUACGCGAUGCUCGUCAUCGUAGGGUUAGUCGGGUCCUAAGCAAAGUCCGAAAGGGGUAUGCGAUGGAAAAUUGGUUAAUAUUCCAAUACCAAUUAUUAUGUGCGAUGGAAGGACGCUUAAAGUUAGUGGAGCUAGCGGAUGGAAGUGCUAGUCUAAGGGCGUAGGUUGAGUUAUAGGCAAAUCCGUAACUCUUUAUCCGAGACCUCAAAGGCUCACGACGCUCUUCGGAGUUGAAUGAGAAUCCAUGAUACUAUCGAGCCAAGAAAAGUUUCUAAGUUUAGUAAUAAUUGCCCGUACCGUAAACCGACACAGGUGGGUGGGAUGAGUAUUCUAAGGCGCGUGGAAGAACUCUCUUUAAGGAACUCUGCAAAAUAGCACCGUAUCUUCGGUAUAAGGUGUGCCUAACUUUGUUAGUAGAUUUACUCUACAAAGCAAAGAAGGUUACAACAAAGAGUCCCUCCCGACUGUUUACCAUAAACACAGCACUCUGCUAACACGUAAGUGGAUGUAUAGGGUGUGACGCCUGCCCGGUGCUCGAAGGUUAAUUGAUGAUGUUAGCUCUGCGAAGCAUUUGAUCGAAGCCCGAGUAAACGGCGGCCGUAACUAUAACGGUCCUAAGGUAGCGAAAUUCCUUGUCGGUUAAAUACCGACCUGCAUGAAUGGCGUAACGAGAUGGGAGCUGUCUCAAAGAGAGAUCCAGUGAAAUUGUAGUGGAGGUGAAAAUUCCUCCUACCCGCGGCAAGACGGAAAGACCCCGUGGACCUUUACUACAGCUUGACACUGCUACUUGGAUAAAGAUGCGCAGGAUAGGUGGGAGGCUUUGAUCUAUAGACCCUGGUUUAUAGUGAGCCAUUGUUGAGAUACCACUCUUCUUUAUUCGGGUAGCUAACUAGCCUAAGUUAUCCUUAGGUAGGACAAUGUCUGGUGGGUAGUUUGACUGGGGCGGUCGCCUCCCAAAAUGUAACGGAGGCUUACAAAGGUUGGCUCAGAACGGUUGGAAAUCGUUCGUAGAGUAUAAAGGCAUAAGCCAGCUUAACUGCAAGACAUACACGUCAAGCAGAGACGAAAGUCGGUCUUAGUGAUCCGGUGGUUCUGUGUGGAAGGGCCAUCGCUCAAAGGAUAAAAGGUACCCCGGGGAUAACAGGCUGAUCUCCCCCAAGAGCUCACAUCGACGGGGAGGUUUGGCACCUCGAUGUCGGCUCAUCGCAUCCUGGGGCUGGAGCAGGUCCCAAGGGUAUGGCUGUUCGCCAUUUAAAGCGGUACGCGAGCUGGGUUCAGAACGUCGUGAGACAGUUCGGUCCCUAUCUGCCGUGGGCGUAAGAAGAUUGAGGAGAGUUGACCCUAGUACGAGAGGACCGGGUCGAACUGGCCACUGGUGUACCAGUUGUUCUGCCAAGAGCAUCGCUGGGUAGCUAAGCCGGGAUGUGAUAAGAGCUGAAAGCAUCUAAGCUCGAAGCCAACUCCAAGAUGAAUCUUCUUUUAAGAGCUCUAGUAGACUACUAGUUUGAUAGGCUGGGUGUGUAAUGGAUGAAAGUCCUUUAGCUGACCAGUACUAAUAGCUCGUUUGCUUAUCUUU
rnacentral:rRNA from 1 species